GCAGCAGGACUGAAGUGAAGAGAAAGUGAAAGUAGAUCUGCUUCCGCUCUGGAAGAUCAAAUGGAGAGACGAUUAGAAGAUUUGUGGAUUAAAAGCUGAAACUCGCUCUUAUUAUUAUGAUCAGACUGUUAUCAGAUAAAAAGCUGAUAUGAGCUGCUUUAAAAUGUGGACAUAUUUCACCUGAAUCAGACAAAUGUCUGAGUGAAGAAGAUCAAAGUGUGUGUGUAUUUGUGUGUGUGUGUGUGUGUGUGUGUAUAGUGUGUGUGUAGUUUGUGUGUGUGUUGUAUUGUGUUUGACUGAAUCUACAGGAGGAGAUAAAGAUGGCGGAAGCUUUGAGUAACAGUGAGUUUAAACUCAUUGGUCCUCGUGGUUUAGAUAAACAGUCUGGUUCUGCUGUUACUCUCUCGUGUCUCCUGUCUCCUGAACUCAGUGCUGUUGGGAUGGAGAUCAGGUGGUUUAAGGGGAUGAACUGUGUUUGUCUCUAUAAGAACAGACAGGUAACAGAGGGGAGGAGCUACGAGGGCAGAGUGAGUCUGAUCACUCAGGAGCUGCAGAGAGGAAACGUCUCCUUACAGAUCAGAAACUGCAGAGGAUCAGAUUUAGGAGUUUACCUGUGUCAGGUAACCAGCGGAGACACAACAGAGGAGUGUACUGUAGAAGUGUGGGGUGAGUAUUCCAGACCUUCACUCUACAUAAACUCAUCUUCAUCAUCAUCAUCAUCUUCAUCAUCAUCUCUCUGAGAAUAAGAGAUAUAAAGAGAGAAAUCUCACACUCUCACAAUCACACAACACUAUCUGUAAUGUUCACUCUCACAACUACACUCUUUUUUUUUUGGCCCGCCACCACCCCCCCUCUUCGGAGGACUAUUAGUAUUGUUUAUUUAUUUGAUUAUGUACACAUUACAACAGUUACUAGUUUCUGUUUUUGUUGCGUGUAUUUUUUUUACACUCUUACAAUACCACUCUCGCACUCUCACUAUCACACCCCCAAACUCUCUAACUCACAACAACCACACUCUCACAAUCACACUGUCACCAUCACACUCUCAUAACCACACUCUCACUCUUAUACUCUCACAACCACACUCUCACCUCAGACUCUUACAACCAAACUCUCACAGUCACACUCUUGCAUCACACUCUUACAACCACACACUUACAAUCACACUCUCACAACCACAUUCUCACAAUCACACUCUCACAACCACACUCACAACUACUGUCAUUUUCAUCAUUAUGCUCUCACACUCACACUUGCACAACCAUACUCUCACAACCAGACUUUCACAGUCACACUCAUACUCUCACAACCACACUUUCACAAUCAGACUCUCACAAUCACACUCUUACAAUUGCACUGUCAAAACAACACAUUUAAACUUUCAUAACCACUCACUCUCACAUCAUACUCAAACACCACACAUCUCACAUUACUCUCUCCUGCAACACUUUCACACUACACUUACACACUCUCAUAUCACAUUUAUAUAACCACACCCUUACAUCACACUCUCAUAAUCACACUCUCAUAAUGACACUCUCAUAAUCACACUCUCACAAUUACACACUCACAUUACACUCA